rnacentral:miRNA from 1 species
UCCUAGGUCGCUUUGCACAGACCCUGGUGACCUGAGGCUCCCUGACUGUCACUCUGUCCCAGCCCUCCUGGCCCGCGGGGCACAGGCUGGGACCCAGUAAAGUCCGUGGGGUCCUGACCCUGGUGUCUGGCCGCCCCUGGAAGGC